ACCUCUGGGAAAUUGUACCAAGCGUUUUACAUUGUUUUUGAAAUUUUCAUUGACUAAACAAUGAAUUGAGACAAUGGCCAGAUAAAUUGAUAAUUAUACAAUGAUUCCCAGUCCUAAAACAUACAUGGACAUUACUACAUACCUUUUAUUAUUCUACAAUUAUUAUGUUAUCCACGUCCUCCAGGCAGUUGCCAUCACAAAGGUUACAGUGGCUAUAAUUUCAAAGCAUACAGUAGAAUAUAGCAGCCAACAACAACUGCAGGAAUGAUCACCUCUGGCUGUCUCUGUUUGACAGCUCUGGCACACAGAGAAUGCAAACACGACAUGCGACUUGUGGGAUGAUAUUUUAUUCUGGGACACGAAUGAGUUUUGACCACUGAGGUUUCAAUUCAGGCAACUGACAGCAGUUCUAUGAGUUUGAGAUUGGGAGAAGGCACAAUAAUGUGCUCCAGUAUUACCAAGGGCGUGUUAUUGCAAACAUGCCAUUUUCUUGCAGUGACCUACUGUAAGCUUAAAAAAAAAAAAAAGGAAAAAAGGGAGUUAUAAAAUAUUUUUUCAAAUUUGACCUUGUGAGGUAAAAUCCAUCAAAUCACCUUUAAUUUUGUUUUAAAUUUAUCACAUCUGUGAUUGUGCAGGACUUCCAGCUUUCUGCAGAAGAACACAAUCUAUUGUAGUCUCUUAAAACAUAUUGACUGUGUAUAUGGAUAUGAUGUCUAUUAAUACUUUCCAUAAAGGAUAAUGUAACUGCUUUAACAGCAGCUGAGUAGUUUGAAUCUACAAAUGGAGUUGAGCUAAUCGAUAGCAGCAGCCAUAGCAGGUAAUGAGGCUGUAUCAAAAUGUUGAGUUGAGGCUAUUUUAUGCCCUGCCUAUCUUUCACUUCAUCAACUUCCUCACAACGCUCAUUAAAAAUGCACGGGGAAUGAAAGUUAAUGUAUGUGAUGAAAAAUGUAUAACCUAAUGAAAACCUAUAGAAGAACCUGACCUUUCAGUUGUUGAUACAUCUGAUGCAAAGUGCUUAAAAACCUGUUGUCGUGGAUGCUUUGCAGCUCUGCACACAUAACCACUUGUCUCAUCCAUUCCACAGUUUUUAAUGUCCAAAAUAGUAGUAUAACAGAUAAAAUACAGAUGAAUACAAAUGCUUUGCUUCCUAAUUGUUUGAAAUUGCUUCACAGAUUUUUGCAUAUCCACAUUCGGUGUUUAUAGAACACCUGCUGUACCUUUGUUAUUUCAGACACUGGCAGAACACUAAUCAAAACGGGUGUUUUGUAAGCGUGUUCAUAAUUCCAGGGGUCAUAACAAAUUCUAAUUAGGCUUGUAGCCAUGCCAGGCCAAGCUCUCAUUGCAAACAGGAGGGUAAUUAUUUCCACUGCACAGUAUUAUUGACACAAACUUUUCUUUUGAUUAAAAAAGAAAAACUAAUCAGUCUUUGUAUGCACCAUAGUGGUUGAGGAGGCGGUAAGGUGAUCUACUUAGCUGCAGAAAUAGCAGAAAGGGUAUAAUGGUGGGCAGCGCCAUGUGAUAUAGACAGCUCAGUAAUAGGCCUCAUUAGAUGCCCAAAGGCCAAGAAAUGUGGCACUCUGUUUUCCCUUAGGCUGGAAACACAAUAAUAUAAAGAAAAAAAAUAAUAAUGAUGAAUUGUAAUUGUCAGGGAAGCCAGGGAGUAUAUAUUUAAUAUUUUAUUAAGAAAACCAUAUGGAUGUUUUGCAUGAUAACAUGCUCUUGUGUUCUCACAGUAUGGUACAUCUGUGUCUUUAAAGUUGACAUCAUGAACUAAUUAUUCGAACCAUAUUUGAUCAACCCAGAGGCUUAAUCUUUCACUGAGGAAAUACCCUUCGGUUGUGAGUAACAAUAACUCAUCGUUAGACAUAACUAACAGAAUAAACACAAACUUUCUCUCCGUUUCUCUCAGAUAGCAUAGGCUUUCUAAGUAUACGCAGGAGGUAACCAGUUGGUGUGGUAGUUGCUUGGUGUGUGUUUACUGUGUACACUUUUACUAAUCACUAUUGGAAUAAUAACCUAUUCACAAAGGGUUUAAAAGCUGAUCCCCUCAAGGUAAUUCCGGUUACUGUAAGAUUAGAGUAAAUUAGGGUUGGAGUUAGAAUUGUUGGGUAAAUUGAGGUUUAGUAUCCAGGCAAUAAACAUAAUUUAAUGCAUUUUCCUCCUAGGUGACAAAAACAACUGUAUGUGUACGUCUCCGUCUGUGUUUAUAUUCUCUUGCAGUACCUGAAAUUAUGAUGAAGUGAAGACCUCACCUAAUCUCAGGCUGCAUCUUGUCCUCUUACCAACAAUGACUACAGCACCAUCUUGUGAAAGAAUGAAAUUUUGAGACAGGCUAGGGAGAACGCAGGGCUCUAAGGCAAACACAAAGAAAGGCGUAGAUUGCGGCAGUGUCAGCAGAUGGCAGUAGCAUCACACCAUGACAAAAGUACAGAUUAAUAAUCUUUGCAAGAGAUCAUAAUAUCUUUUGCAGACACAUAACAAGUAGCCUUAAGCUGUGGUAAACAAAAUACAAAACUGCAAUUAUCAUUUAUCAGAUUCUGCAUAUAUAGGCAACAAGAGCCUGUUAUCAGACAGUGGAAUUUAUUUAAAUUCAUUACCUUCUGCAAGGUUUAUCGUAACACUGUAUGCUAAUAAGUGAGUGUAUCACUGAUGAUUGCUAUUUAUUAAACAGUGCAUCAGAAAAA